rnacentral:rRNA from 1 species
UACGAAGGGGGCUAGCGUUGCUCGGAAUCACUGGGCGUAAAGGGCGCGUAGGCGGCGUUUUAAGUCGGGGGUGAAAGCCUGUGGCUCAACCACAGAAUGGCCUUCGAUACUGGGACGCUUGAGUAUGGUAGAGGUUGGUGGAACUGCGAGUGUAGAGGUGAAAUUCGUAGAUAUUCGCAAGAACACCGGUGGCGAAGGCGGCCAACUGGACCCAUUACUGACGCUGAGGCGCGAAAGCGUGGGAGCAACAGG